rnacentral:rRNA from 1 species
UACGUAGGGGGCAAGCGUUGUCCGGAAUCAUUGGGCGUAAAGAGCGUGUAGGCGGCCUGACAAGUCUGCUGUGAAAACUCGAGGCUCAACCUCGAGAUGUCGGCGGAAACUGUCUGGCUAGAGUCCGGAAGAGGAGAGUGGAAUUCCUGGUGUAGCGGUGAAAUGCGCAGAUAUCAGGAAGAACACCUAUGGCGAAGGCAGCUCUCUGGGACGGUACUGACGCUGAGACGCGAAAGCGUGGGGAGCGAACAGG